ACCUUUUGACAUGAUGGAGGAAGAGGCCGUGGAGCUUCUUAGGCCUCGUCCUGGGAAUGGCGUUGUAUCGCGGGAAUUUUGCUUGUGCCAUUGCGUUCAAUGCAUCGCAGGAAAAGCAAACCCGAUUUACUUUGCAGAGUUGGGAAACUUUGUUUGAAGCUGCUAAAUGCAGGCAGGACGAGCUAUACCUUCUUGUGCGAGAGCCACUGCACCGAGGAGAGCGUCCGCGGAUGGUACCACCGCAAGUGCUACAGUACAUACACUAACAAAACGUUGCUGGGUCGGCUGCCACUUGGACGUGGCCAUGACUUUUCAAGCCAUUCUGAAUUGGAGGAGAUACAUGUAUGUGAUGAUGGGACACCAUGUACCAGCAAAGCGUAGAACAAGGAGAGAUGUACAAUGAUUGAAUCCACAUCUGCAGACUUGUGCCUCAUGACAUGUGCAUCUAUCAGAGUUGGAGAACAACGCAAGAAUUUUGGCUUUCGCUCCAGAAUGGCCCAGAUUGCGUUGCAGCGGAAAUCCACUAUCAACAUCGGAGCAUGCUACAGUGCCUUCACCCACCUGGCCACUAUGCACCGGCAACGAAGUGGCAAAGGGAGUGACCAGCCGUCGGCCUACGAAACAUUUGACAGCCUGGUGCCGUAUACAGUCCGAGUUGAAGUCUGCAAGGGCCUUGCCCAUGAAGCUUCUCACGGAUAAGUACAAUAACUGCAAACGGCACCAGCUUGGCCGACCAUCACACUCCGCCUUAGUAUCCAACUUUCAUGCUGAAAAAGAAGAUAAUGAGCUACCGGUACUUGGGGACCAGCAAUUGACAUGUAUGGUAAGUGGCAUGGGUAUACAGGCGCACUCUUCACGGAGCAACCACUUGUCUGUGUCGUCUGCAAACGGUCCGAUGGCCGGUAAUACCCAGUCAUUGCCGAACAGUCAUACUAGUAACGCACCUAGCCCAACUCCAACCAUCCCAGUCCAGCCGGUCGCCGCAGAUUUCCUGCCCGCAUCCACGUCCACUCCGCACCCCAGUGUCCGGCAAGAGAACGGGCCCAAUGCCAGGAGUUACAACGGGCCCACUGCCAGGAAUUACGAUAGGCUCACUGCCAGGAGUUACGAUAGGCCCGCUGCGAUAUCCGCUGGGCUUGUCCCCACCAAUGUCGUGUUGCCCACUCAUUUCGGCUUCAAAGGAUCCGCUACUCCGCCGCAUCAGGUGAACACCAGUGGAUCAGUUUCAUCUCUGGGUACUACAUCAGCCUCCAGUACAGAUGUGUCAGCUAGUAAGGCUUUGACUACAACCUCGGGUGCGAGGCAACCAGUAGCGGCUGCGGUGUCUUCUACAGCGCCAUCUCAACCACGGUCGCAGCAGGUUCUUGCUGAUCUCUAGCGUGCUAUGUGGUGUGUGAGUGUGUGCGCGCGUGGACGCGCACACACAAUGCCAUGUGUUGUGCGGUGUGUGUGUGCGUGCGUGUGGGGUUUGUGUAUGUGUGUGUGUGAGCGCGCGCACAAUGUCAUGUGUUGUGUACGUGUGUGUGUGUGUGCGCGCGCGCGCAUGCACACAAUGCCAUGAUGAGGGUGAAGGCAGUUUCGACAGUGGAUUGGACUGUAAGUUCGACUGUGAAUCGGACAGUUACCGUAAUGUCGCGUGCAUAAGCCGGAUUUGUGCAUAAGCCUGUCUCGUGUAGAAGCAUGAAAUCUGCAACAGCUUUUCGCGUACAAGCCUGUCGCAUGCAUAAGCCGGGCCAGUACACGAGACGCGCCACGUGUCGCGUGCGUAAGCCGGGCUACUACGCAAGACUGGUGAGCGCGCCUUUUACAUGUUCAUGUUUGCAUGGUACCAUACACUUGCACACGCGGAAAACGUGGGAAGAUGCGGAAAGAAAAAAAAUCCCGUUGGAAAAUGUUGGUUUUGACGUCCAAAAGUCAGCAGUUCGCGCAUACAAGCCUGGUCAUUGAGUGGUGCUUGUCAUAUAAGCCUGUCUCGUGUAUAAGCCUGUCUUGUGUACAAGCCUGACUCCAUCACCGGCUUAUAGGCAUAUAAGCCCCGGCUAAUGCACGCGACAUUACGGUAGUCUGAAAGCUAAGGCUAGUGGACCGCACUAUUGAAGUUUUUGAAUUGAUUUGAAUUUGAAUUGUAUUUUUCAACUCUGCAGCAAAUGACAUUUUUAUACACUACUGCGCUAUUAUUUACAACAUCUUCCAUAUCGCUCGUUUGCUAAGAUCAGCUUAUGAUUGCUAUCACUCUGCAGUUUUCCGGUGUCCUUUA